GACGUAGGGCGCGAGCGUUGUCCGGAUUUAUUGGGCGUAAAGAGCUCGUAGGCGGCUUGUCGCGUCGACUGUGAAAAUCCCGCGGCUCAACCGCGGGUCUGCGGUCGAUACGGGCAUCACUGGAGUUCGGCAGGGGAGACUGGAAUUCCCAGUGUAGCGGUGAAAUGCGUAGAUAUUGGGAGGAACACCAGUGGCGAAGGCGGCCACCUGGACCGGUUCUGACGCUGAUGCGCGAAAGCGUGGGGAGCAAACAGG
rnacentral:rRNA from 1 species